rnacentral:SRP_RNA from 1 species
GCUGGGCAUGGUGGUGCAUGCCUGUAGUCCCAGCUACUCGGGAGGCUGAGGCAGGAGAAUUGCUUGAACCCAGAGGCGGAGGUUGCAGUGAGCCAAGAUUUCGCCACUGCAUUCCAGCCUGGGCAACAGAGCAAGACUCUGUCUCAA